UACGAAGGGGGCUAGCGUUGCUCGGAAUCACUGGGCGUAAAGCGCACGUAGGCGGAUUGCUAAGUCAGGGGUGAAAUCCUGGAGCUCAACUCCAGAACUGCCUUUGAUACUGCCGUGCUUGAGGACUGGAGAGGAGACUGGAAUUUACGGUGUAGCGGUGAAAUGCGUAGAUAUCGUAAGGAAGACCAGUGGCGAAGGCGGGUCUCUGGACAGUUCCUGACGCUGAGGCACGAAGGUCAGGGGAGCAAACGGG
rnacentral:rRNA from 1 species